ensembl:snoRNA
UGGAGGACUGAGAAGGUGAGCAGCCCCUGCCGUGCUGUUCCUGCCGGUGAGGACCUCCGACAGCAAAGGGCUGCCUGGCCAAGGCCCCCCUGCCGCCCCGGGGCAGCGCCGCGCCAGCCCACAGUCC